rnacentral:rRNA from 1 species
GAUGAACGCUGGCGGCGUGCCUAAUACAUGCAAGUCGAGCGAACAGGUGAGGCGCUUGCUCCUCUGUCGUUAGGGGCGGAGGGGAGAGUAACGUGUGGAUAACCUACCUAUCAGACGGGGAUAAUUUGGAAAAACGGGAGAAUAUCCCGGAUAAUCUAUUGAUGCGUGGGGUGCAAUGGUAAAAGACGGUUGUGGUGUCUCUACUCGCGGGUUACGCGCUGCGUUAUGUAGUUGUUGCGUAAACGGCUUACCAAGGCAACGCUGCGUGGCCAACCUGCGGGGGUGAUCGGCCACCCUGGCACUGAGAAAGGGUCCAGACUCCUACGGGCAGCAGCAGUAGGGAAUCUUGCGCCAGGGGCGAAAGCCUGACGGAGCAACGCCGCGUGAGUGAUGAAGGUCUUCGGAUCGUAAAACUCUGUUAUUAGGGAAGAACAAAUGUGUAAGUAACUAUGCACGUCUUGACGGUACCUAAUCAGAAAGCCACGGCUAACUACGUG